UUACCUGUUUUGAUAAACACGAUUGAUUUGUUUCCUUUUUCAGUUGUGCUGAAAAAACAAAAGACGACUGUGGUUUAUUUAUUGACAAAAACACAGUUCGUCAUGCUAACAUUUUUGAAAUCGAGAUUAUUAGCAUUGGUAGAGACGGAGGUAUAGCUAUCGGUUUGGUACCGGAUAACUAUCCAAAAAAUCUUCUACCUGGAUUAGGAAAUUAUUCAUGUGGAUACUUUUCAGACGGCAAUGUGUUUGGAAGUAAAUUCGGUAAUAAAUCUGGAGAAGCAUGGAAAGUCGGCGAUCGAAUAACAGUUCAAAU